rnacentral:tRNA from 1 species
GGCGGCGUGGUGUAAUGGCUAACACAUCAGUCUGGUCUACUGAAGAUGCUGGUUAGCUCCCAGCCGCCGAAU